AUGUUUUUGGUGAGAGUUUCAAGACCUUCCUAAUGAAAGAAGAUAUGGACAUGAUUAUAUCAUCAAAAGAAGUAUCAUCCAAUUGUAUCUUAUACUACAUCUGGUUUAACUAGGCACUUGCAUAGAAAGUUGAUUGAUGCAAAGCAAGUUGAACGAUAUGUUUUUGUCAAUCCAGUAUUGGUUUCGAAAGCUGGAAUGGGAGAAGGAAGCAAGGAAAACAGUUUCCACUGGGUCUUAGUGGCACUAGAGAUGAAGAGAAUGAUCGCAUAUUACCUUGAUCCAAUGGCUUC